UACGUAGGGGGCUAGCGUUGUCCGGAAUCAUUGGGCGUAAAGCGCGUGUAGGCGGUCCGGUAAGUCCGCUGUGAAAGUCGGGGGCUCAACCCUCGGAUGCCGGUGGAUACUGCCGGGCUUGAGUACGGAAGAGGCGAGUGGAAUUCCUGGUGUAGCGGUGAAAUGCGCAGAUAUCAGGAGGAACACCAAUUGCGAAGGCAGCUCGCUGGGACGUUACUGACGCUGAGACGCGAAAGCGUGGGGAGCAAACAGG
rnacentral:rRNA from 1 species